GGGCUGUGGGAGCUCCCAGCUCUCUGCUCACACAGGGCUGAGGUCUCUGGGAAGGCAGGUGUGGUCUAGAAGAUGAGGCUGCUGGGUCUUGUCCUGUGCCUGGUCACAGCUCCCCAAGGUAUCUUGUGCCAGGUGCAGCUGCAGGAGUCAGGACCUGGCCUGGUGAAGCCCUCGCAGACCCUGUCCCUCACCUGUGCUGUCUCUGGUUACUCCAUCACCAUUGGUUACUGCUGGAGCUGGAUCCGUCAGCCCCCAGGGAAGGGGCUGGAGUGGAUAGGGAGCAUAUGUUAUAAUGGUAACACUUACUACAGCUCUACCCUCAAGAGCCGAGUGUCCAUCUCCAGAGACACGUCCAAGAACCAGUUCUCCCUGCAGCUGAGCUCCCUGACCACUGAGGACACAGCCACCUAUUACUGUGCCAGAGACACAGCAGAUCCUUCUGGGGCAUGA